AAUUAAAGCAACAAAAUGACCAACCAAAUGCGUUCAGGUACCUAAAGAUAAAGUAAAAGUAUUCUAAACGCCAAAUAACCAGUUCAUUUGAUAUAUUAUUCACUGUUAUCUUUAACCUUUGAAUUUAUUUGAUGUUAAUAUUAAAUUGUGUCGAUACCGAUAUAUUACGUUCGGGUACAAUGUACAUCACUAGUAAUAUGUAUUUGUUUUAAAGGAACUAUCCUUCAGCCUUUUGGUUUAAUUUUAUUUCAACCAUUUUUUUUUUGUUUUUUUUUUUUUUGGCAAUCAGAUAAUCCCGCGUGCCUCGCAAGCUUGGGUCUCAGGUCCCAGCUCGAAAACUUUGUAUAUUUUUUUUGGGUUAUCGUAAAAUAGAUACAUUUUGCUAGUGAUUAAAAAAAAAAUUAAUUGUCGUGUUAGUAUUAAAAUAUUGAUGUUCGUAUAUGUAGGGUAGUUUUAAAAGUUAAUUGUGCUAAUUCUAUGACGUAUUCAAUAUAAAUCUAAUAACCGGAAAACUUUAAUUUUGUCACACAAUAGCAAAUAUAUUUAAUUUUUAAUUGUACAUUUUUGUUGUUUUAGAGUUUAUUGAAAAGAAAACAUGUAAUUUUCUUGGUUUAUUGUUAAAAAAAUUGAUAUCAACGGAUGCGAAAUCGUUCAUUCGUACUUUUUCGUGAGAGUAACAGAUAUCAUCAGUAUAAUAGAUGUAAUAGGUUAUAAAAAUUAGCUUGUAAUAAAUUAAGCCGAUCGCACAUUUGGUCGCGCCUUUGAAUAUUUGUUAUAAAAGCAUCUAGCGUGAACCGCCAAAUGUAGCAUGCGUAUGUCAAAACGGCCUUAGAACGCGCAGAAAAAACAAUAGUCUGGAAUCAUCUUAAUUUAUUUUGACCACCUCGCUAUCCUACUUUGACUGCUGAGAGAGAGCGAGAGGUCGGACCCCAGUGGUGUCCGUUCUAAUUGUUAGUCGAAUAUGAUAACGGAACGUAAGAAUUUGCCUCAAGUAGAUAUUAUAGAAUCGCCUGAUCCACCUUUAUUAUAAAUUCAUGGGUGAGUGCGGCCAAGUGUGUGAUCGCUGAUCAACUUACGUGUGACAUGCGAUUGGUGUCAUCCUUUCCAUGAGUAAAGGCGCCACUACACAUUGAUCCAAUACGUUCGGCAAGUGCUGGUCUAGUUUUUCACCUAUAGCCAGAUCAUUCGGUAAGCCGGCCGCAUGCGGGCAUUUGCCGAAUGUAUUGGCUUAAUGUGUACUGGGUCCUUUACAUUCAGAAUAAAUAAUGUUAGUGUUAAUAUAAAAUUCUAUCAAUUACUCUUGUCGUCACAAAGUGUAUAAAGUUUAAAGAUCUGAUUUCAAUAUGCUAGUGAACUUUUUCGAUUCAAAUCUCAAAAGUCACUUCAGAAGGAAAUUGUUAUUAAAGAUGUACACUAGUUGACUGGCCUCGGCUUUGCUCAGGUGAAAGUACUACAAAUCGUGAGCGGACAGGCCGUUGUUCCGGUAGUAGUAAUAGGUAAUUAAAUCAGUUUGCUGGAAUGAAUUCGGAGGUGUGGUAACUGUUGUUAUAGAGAAGACCUACUUGGAAAAUCUCAAGUUUCUAAGUCUAGCAAAAACUUGUCAUCAAAUAAAAAAAUGUCUAGUCCCAUAUAUUGAUGAGGCUAGGUACAUUAAAUUUUUGCUUCUCCUGUUGUUACUGGCAGCAUUAGUUCGCCAGGCCCACGGUUAAUUUUUCCAUUUGAAAUAGGGAGAAAGAGUCAGGGCUGAACUCUUUGUUAUUUGAAUCGAAAAAUGUUUGAAAAUCUAUCUGUAUCUUAGUGUUUAGAUACGUGUCUAAUGAUUUUAUUUAUUAAUGAAAUUGUGACUUAUUGUAUUGAAAUAAAUAUAAUAAAUAAAUGAUUCCUGAGUCUUCUG